rnacentral:rRNA from 1 species
GGGUCAGUAGGUUGGUCGUGCCACCGGUACGUACUGGUCUCACUGAUUCCUCCUUCCUGAAGAACCGUAAUGCCAUUAAUUUGGUGUAGCGGGGAAACAGGACUGUUACUUUGAAAAAAUUAGAGUGUUUAAAGCAAGCUAACGCUUGAAUACAUUAGCAUGGAAUAAUGAAAUAGGACGAUCGAUCCUAUUUUGUUGGUUUCUAGGAUUGACGUA